GUCAUCAUUUGGACCAUAUAGCAAGCCAAAAUAUGCGAGCAGAAUGGCAGAUUUGAACGCAUUUCAAGGCAACGUCUAGAGAACAAUGUGUUGGGUUGCCCAUUAAUGUUUGUAUUAUUGCUACAGUUUCAUGCUGGCAUCCCCCCCAACCACAUACACAAACACACACACACACACACCAGCUUACAGUAUAACUGACACUUGUGUUUACUGACACACACUCUCUCUCUAAGUUAAAUUCGGAAAAAUCUGGAAAAAACCUGUCCAUAGCUUAGGAGGGCAGUAUACUGUAAGUAUGAGUACCGCUGGCUAAGCCUUUAAAGUAAAUGCACGGUAUUCAACAUGAGAAAAUCACUAAAACUUACCUUAGUGCAACUGAAUUUGUUUGAGAGAAUAGUAGCAAUUCUACUGCCUCUUUUAUUCUUCCUAACUGAAUGAAAGAAACUGUAGCUGGGUGGACAGGUUUCAACAAGGACAGCAGCACCAUCAGAGCUGAGCCACAUCUCUACAAGAAAUAAUAAGUGUUAUGCUUGUCGGAGAUCAAAUCAUUGAUUGAAAAGGGCUUUGUGUUGAGUGAUCCUACAUUAAGUAAGGCCAUGUUAGUAUUAGAUAGAACUGACUGUUGUUGAAUUUGGGGAGGAGCAGCAGUAAUAUUAUUUGGAUUUCUGAAAUUGUUCUGUCUACGUAAUCUUGUCCUAAUAAUUGGAAUUAUGGGCAUCGAGAGCAUCAGGGCACCAGGGGGGAGCUGGGAACUUUGUGCCUGAAUGAAACGAUGGCAGUAGUGUGGAGAAGUCAGCUUGCAGUUUGAGACCGGUAGUAACUAGAGCCUUCUUGGCUGUCUGGACAUGUGGCGGAGGAUGGUCAGACUGUAGGAAUGUUAAAAUCUGCAUAAAAUAUGUUGUGUGUUAAAUUACUGUAUGUGCACCCAGUCUGCUAGGAUGGACAGCAUCCCUUAGAUAAAAGGAUGGACGAUUCCAAAAGAGGAUAAAAUUGUCAAUGAAAACCACCGUGCUGUGCACUGUGCAGGAAGACUGGAGCCAUGUAUGGACGCUAAGGAUCCGGCUGAAAUGAUGCUUUGGGGAAGUGGAGGGAUAGGUCCAGAGAUAAAGAUACGCUUGCCGCAGUCAUUAAGCGAGUGAAGGAGCCUGCUAAAAUCCCAUUUUAAAAUCUCAGAAGUCUGGUUGGAAACUUCAUUGCGGUUGAUGCAGUCGUUGGGGGGGCUGGGGGUGAUGGAGAUCUGCUGGACUCACAUAAUAUCAGGUUCUCAGCCAGAGGAGGGAAUUCAUUUGCUGACCACAACCCAGGGCUCAGGAUGUGAUGGAGUAGAAUAGGCUUUGGGUUUAGCCCCGAGCUGCAGCCAGUGGUCCUCAGGGACGGAGACUGGAGAAGGAACAGAAGCAACGGCUGGAGCAGCGUCAGCAGGACGGGGAGCAGUGACACCCUUCUCUUCAGCACUAGUAGCGGUCUCUUGUGCAGGGCCGAAGAUGAUAGUGUCCAAGUGCCUCUCAGCUUCCGCCGACUCAGCAAUCUUCUUACUGAGGCAGAGGCAGCUCUCGCAUGUAUCUCGAUGACUAACAUCCCAAAGAAAUAGUUAAAAACGAGCAGGAUCUAAAAAGUGAAAUCAUAAAAAUUUGGCUAAAAACUGGAUUAAAAGUCAAUUUAAGAGAGAGAGAGAGCUUCUGGCGGUUCAAACGCAACGCCGACGCAUGCGUAUGGUUUUCCCACAACAAAGUGAAAACAAAUGAACAGCCGCUGAGUGAGGUUGGCAGGUUGACAGAAACAGACUCACAGAUGCAUUAAAGCUUUAACGAGAACAAACAAGCAACAAACUGAAAGAAAACAGUGUCAGCUGUCAGUGAGAGUUUGAGAUAAAUCUUCAAAAUCUGCCCUCAGAUUCUUUAAACCGAUGCUCCGUGUUGCUGCUCGGACCAAUAGCAGUUGGACAACGACAGGGUCAAAAACCAGAUUUAAUUUUGGAUCAUAGCCAUAUAUACAGUAAGUGGACUGAAAGCAGGCUAGAUGAGUGCCAAAGCAGGCCAAAGAGGGCCAAAUACAAAACAAAAAUGGAAAAAAAAAAACGCAGAAGAAAUUUGUCUCUGUUUUUUCUGUGUUGAAGGCCACAAGUCCUGGACUGAAUCCAGCUAUUAAAUAUUUAUUUCUUAUAUAAUUUGCCUAUACUGAAUACAUAAGGCAUUACAGAUUCAUACAUCAAA